UACGGAGGGUGCGAGCGUUGUCCGGAAUCACUGGGCGUAAAGGGCGCGUAGGUGGCGUCGCAAGUCAACGGUGAAAGCUCGACGCUCAACGUCGAGUCGGCCGCCGAGACUGCGAGGCUUGAGCACUGUAGAGGCAGAUGGAAUUCCGGGUGUAGCGGUGGAAUGCGUAGAGAUCCGGAAGAACACCGGUGGCGAAGGCGGUCUGCUGGGCAGUUGCUGACACUGAGGCGCGACAGCGUGGGGAGCAAACAGG
rnacentral:rRNA from 1 species